UACGUAGGGCGCAAGCGUUGUCCGGAAUUAUUGGGCGUAAAGAGCUCGUAGGCGGUCUGUCGCGUCCGUUGUGAAAACUCGAGGCUCAACCUCGGGCUUGCAGUGGAUACGGGCAGACUAGAGUGCGGUAGGGGAGACUGGAAUUCCUGGUGUAGCGGUGGAAUGCGCAGAUAUCAGGAGGAACACCGAUGGCGAAGGCAGGUCUCUGGGCCGCAACUGACGCUGAGGAGCGAAAGCGUGGGAGCGAACAGG
rnacentral:rRNA from 1 species